rnacentral:lncRNA from 1 species
AAAAAAAAAGACGAAAAGGCUAGAAAACUAAACUGGAAAUUAGCUUGAAGCUAAACCGGAAAAAAAGACAGAAGGUAAACAGAAAGUUACGCCAAAAGCUAAAUCAAAAAAAGGAAAUAAAAUGAAUGUAGAUAUGGAAGAUGUUGUUAGUAAUGGUAAUUACGUCCAAAUGAACAGUUCGGAGAUUACUAUUUUUAGGUACAUUAAUGCAGUGUUGUUUAUUUUGUUAUUUCUGUUUUGCCUAUUGACUUUACUAAUAUGUAUGUAUUAUUUUUAUGUACCAUGUGAAUCGUGUGAUUAUUUAAACAGAAUAUUAGUGAUAGCAAUAAUGCUAAAAAAUAUAGGUCAUAUUAAUAUGUUUAUAAUAAAAAUAAAAAAAAGAAAUGAGAUAGACAAUAAUGAAAGAUGUAAAUAUAUAUUUAAUAAUUUGAUGAAACUUUUUAAUUAUUUAACAUUUGUUUUAGUAAUAUCAUGCUUAUAUUUACUUUAUUUUUAUAAAAAUAUAUGUACAACAAAUACAUUAUCUUUAAAAAUUAUAAAAAUAUAUUAUUAUUUUGCAAUAACUAUUUAUUUUAUUCCUUUAAUAUUUUAUAUUUUUCUUGGUUUAUUCUUAUCAAUUAUUAUUUGUAUCAUGGUUAACUUUUCUGUUGAUGAAAAUGAUCGCAUACCAACUCCACAAAACGUUAUAAGCAAACUAAAAGUUAUGAAAUAUGCAGAUAUUGAUUAUAUUUAUAAUAUUAAUAAUAAUAAUAAUAAUAAUAAAAGUAGAAAUAAAUCUUAUAUUAAAAAACCUUCGUUCGAAAUGAUUAUAGAUAAAGUAAAAAACGUCAUAAGAGAUAAAAGUAAUAAAGAAACAUUAACAAAAUCAAACUCUAAUAUAUUAAUUAAUAUGAAUAGUUUAAGUAGUUCAGAUGAAAACCUGCAAGAAAUGUUAAAACCGCUUAAUUCAGAUAUGCAUGACGAAAAAAAUGGUCACACUUCUGAUGGUAAUAUAGGUGAUGACCAUGGACAUAUAGACAAUUACACGAAUAAUCUUGCCGAUGGACAUAACGAUAGUACCGAAUGCUAUGAUACAAAUAAUAACAAUAAUAAUAAAAAUAAUAAUACUAAUAACAGUAUAAGUAAAAUACCAAAAAAAUCUUUAUCAAACAAUAACUAUAAUGGAUUAUCUAACGAAAUCGAAGAUGUGUGUUCGAUAUGUAUGUUAAAUUAUAUAAGUAGUGAUGAUAUUAUGAUUUUACCAUGUGAUAAAAGACAUUUUUUUCAUGUAAACUGUCUAACUAAGUGGUUAUAUAAAAGCCAAGUGUGUCCCAUUUGUAGGACAAACAUUGUGAAUUGUGUAAAUGUAAAAAAUGAUGUUGUUUGAUGUUGUUUUAUUUGCUUGUUUAUUUACUUGUUUAUUUAUUUUAUUUAUUUAUUUUAUUUUUUUUUUUUAUAUAGUUUAUUUUUUAUUAUUUGUUUUAUGUAAAAUUUUUAAUUAAAAGUAAAAAGUGAAGAAAAAAGAAAAAAAAAUAAAUAAAAAAAUAAGAAAAAAAAAAAAAUAAAA